UACGUAGGGUGCGAGCGUUUGUCCGGAAUUAUUGGGCGUAAAGAGCUCGUAGGCGGCCUGUCGCGUCGGAUGUGAAAGCCCGGGGCUUAACCCCGGGUCUGCAUUCGAUACGGGCAGGCUAGAGUUCGGUAGGGGAGAUCGGAAUUCCUGGUGUAGCGGUGAAAUACGCAGAUAUCAGGAGGAACACCGGUGGCGAAGGCGGAUCUCUGGGCCGAUACUGACGCUGAGGAGCGAAAGCGUGGGGAGCGAACAGG
rnacentral:rRNA from 1 species